rnacentral:lncRNA from 1 species
CUAUAAACAGGUGUUCAACCAAUGAUAAAAGCACUAAAAUACGUUGAAUUCCGUUUCAAAACUUAUAUUAUAACUCAUUUAUCAAUUAGAUUACAAAAGAGCUCGACAAUUUGUGCAAUUUAUGUACGUCACUGUAUCCACCUUCCAGAAAAAUCAUCAUUUUGUAUUAUCGAAUGGUUGGUAUACUUUUGUACAUUUGUAAACAGGGGCC